CAGUCGGGUUCAGUGUGGGGUCGGUCAGUAUUGGGUGUGUCAGUGCAUGGGUCAGUAUCGGGUGUGUCAGUGCGUGGUUCAGUAUGGGGUCAAUAUGGGAUCAGUCAGUGUAGGUCAGUGUCGGGUAUGUCAGUGUGUGGGUCAGUAUGG